ensembl:lncRNA
GUAAGGAAGAUGGACAAGACGGCCUGAUAGCCUUUCUCAUCUCUAACUUCUAUAUGUACACUUCCUUCACUAUGAAACUCCUGCACAGCAGAAGACAGAUGAUCAAGUGACCAAGAGCUGGAGUCACUCUCAGAGGGUCAAUGGUAACAGGACAAACAAAUAGCUGCCACAAGAUGCCUUCAGGCAAGGCAGCCCAACAGGUUCAUCCCUUCUGCUAAAGGUGGUGGAAACAGACCUGGCCAACAGCUCCAUCCUUGCCUACCCUGCCUAAACCUGACAAAGCUCUUCAAAGCUAAUCAUCAGCCUGAAAUAAAAUUUUGAACAAAGUGACGGUUCAGUUCAGAAUUCAAGCUCUGCAGAUGUGUGUGUGUGUGAUGGGACAAACCUGGACUGUCCCAUCUCAUCUGACCAGAUUUCUCCUGCUGCCUGGUAAAGACCC